rnacentral:tRNA from 1 species
GGAGGGAUGCGAGAGCGGCCGGUUGGGCCCGCCUGGGCCGCGUGUGUGGCCUCACAGUCACCGUGGGUUCGAAUCCCACUCCCUCCG